CCAAGAGCUACAUCUUUGAGAACCCAAGUAUUUGGCAUACUUUUCUGACUUAAGCAAUGAGAGAGUGAAGUGGAAGAAUGGAGUGGUGUGUGCAGCCAUGUAAACAAGAGAUUCAUAAAAUAAAAGAAAAAUACCAUGCAUUUCCAUCAGACUGAACUAUGAAGCAACAUAUUCACAGCUUUGGCAGGAGAACCAUUUCUGAGAACCACAAGUUUUACCUCCUAGAGAAACAGAGGCAGAACUAAGCAAGGACUGAUUACUGGGGAUGACUUUACUACACUGCCCUAGCAAAGACUGAGAAUUCAAGGAGAAUAUAAAUAAUACAUAAAGGAGGAUUCCAGCAAGUCAGAGGCAAGAAUUUGCCAGAGGCCAGGAUAUCCAUUAAGAGUCUCAAGACCAAACAAGGUCAGAACAAAAGCCCAACUAUUUUUCUAACACAUAUGUACACAAAACCUACACAAUCCUUACGGGUAUCCUCAAGAUUGUUGCAUUUAGACAAAGAAGAAGAGAAAGGGAAACAGAGAUCCUCUUCCUCCUGGAUAUUUUCCAUUGUUAUUCAAAUACUACAACUUUUUCUCUUAAAGAAGCCCUCCAUUAACCCAAUCAUCA